rnacentral:lncRNA from 1 species
AAAUCAGAUAUGACAGUGGGUUAUAAGAAUGAGGGAUUGCUACCAGCAUACAAGGUAAAAACUGCUGGUUCCUAUGAAAAAUGAGAAGGCUCAGUCCCAGGACUGUGAGCUAGAAGAGGUGACCAGUUGUUCUUAAGGAAGUCAAUUCAAAUGAUGUUAUACAACAGAAAAAUGCAAGCUUCUGCUCUGCUGUCUCUCCUGAAAGUUUGACUCGUUGGAUGGAAGCAUGAAUGCUAUUUAAGAAUCAUUAACAGAAAGACAAAAAAAAGAAAAAAAAAAUUGGCUAAAAGAUCUAGUUAAUUAUCUUUUCGGAAACAUUUUAAGCUGAUAUUCUAUUUUUAUCUACAUAAAUAUCUAUUCGUUAUGGUGGUUGGAAACAGGAAGCAGGCUCUGUCACUAAGGACAGGUUAUUUGACCUCUAAUCCUCAAUGACCUUCUCGGUAAGUUGGGGAGAAAACGGGUUAUCUCCUCCACACGGUUAGCGUGAACAUUAUUAAGUGAGAUCAGGUAAAGUACCUAACAUGGAUUCUCUUUUGUGUCUUUUUAGGGCUGUACCUGCAGCAUGUGGAAGUUCCCAGGCUAGGGGUUGAAUCAGAGCUGCAGCUGCUGGCCUACACCACAGCCACAGCCACACCAGAUCCAAGCCGCAUCUGCGACCUACACCACAGCUCACAGCAGUGCCAGAUCCUUAACCCACUGAGUGAGGCCAGGGAUGGAACCUGCAUCCUUAUAAAUCCUGGUCAGGUUCAUUACCGUUGAGCCACAAUGACACAGAUUUAUGGGAAGCUCUCAAUAAAUGAUAGUUAUUAUAAGGAAGUAAUAACUCCGUUAUAGUUCACCUAUACUCAGUAUUCAACUUGAACAAUAUUCAAACUUUGACCUACAAAACAGAAUUUCAUAUGGUUUAACUUACUAUUACCAUCAUCAUAUUUUUCUGUAAUUGAUAUUCAUGUUUUCACAGUGUAAACUUCCAAUCCUUUAUAUGUCAAAAGAGACUUCAUCUGCAUUGAAUAAUUUUUCUUAAAGGGAAUUGUUACAGAUGGUGCUCUGAAAAACAUCAGUAGUCCUGUAUUUUUAUCCACCAUUUUAAAGCUAGUCUUUUUAUGUCAAGAUAUUAAGUUAUUUCAUGAUUUUUUAUUUAGGAGUUCCUGUUGUGAUGCAGCAGAAGUGAAUCUGACUAGUACCCAUGAGGACGCAGGUUCGAUCCCUGGCCCUGCUCAGUGGGUUAAGGAUCCAUCAUUGGCCAUAGGCUGUGGUAUAGGUCCAAGACGAGGCUCGGAUCUGGCGUGGCUGUGUGGCUGUGGUGUGGGC